rnacentral:rRNA from 1 species
AGUGAACGCUGGCGGUAGGCCUAACACAUGCAAGUCGAACGGCAGCACAGUAAGAGCUUGCUCUUACGGGUGGCGAGUGGCGGACGGGUGCGGAAUACAUCGGAAUCUACUUUUUCUUGGGGGCUAACGUAGGGAAACUUACGCUAAUACCGCAUACGACCUACGGGUGAAAGCAGGGGAUCUUCGGACCUUGCGCGAUUGAAUGAGCCGAUGUCGGAUUAGCUAGUUGGCGGGGUAAAGGCCCACCAAGGCGACGAUCCGUAGCUGGUCUGAGAGGAUGAUCAGCCAAAAUGGAACUGAGACAAGGUCCAGACUCCUACGGGAGGCAGCAGUGGGGAAUAUUGGACAAUGGGCGCAAGCCUGAUCCAGCCAUACCGCGUGGGUGAAGAAGGCCUUCGGGUUGUAAAGCACUUUUGUUGGGAAAGAAAAGCAGCAGGUUAAUACCCCGCUGUUCUGACGGUACCAAAAGAAUAAGCACCGGCUAACUUCGUG